UACGUAGGGACCGAGCGUUGUCCGGAUUCAUUGGGCGUAAAGAGCUCGUAGGCGGCUGUUCAAGUCGAACGUGAAAACUCGGAGCUCAACUCCGAGCCUGCGUCCGAUACUGGACGGCUAGAGUCUGGUAGGGGGAUCUGGAAUUCCUGGUGUAGCGGUGGAAUGCGCAGAUAUCAGGAGGAACACCGGUGGCGAAGGCGGGAUCCUGGGCCAGUACUGACGCUGAGGAGCGAAAGCGUGGGGAGCAAACAGG
rnacentral:rRNA from 1 species